rnacentral:rRNA from 1 species
AUGACGGCCUGCCUCGCCCACGUCCAGAUCUACAAGAGAUCAAGAAGGGUGAUGUUCUGGAUGCUGAUCUCGACUAAUAGUUGCCGGAUGAACUAUGCAAUGACAGCAUGGAUGAGCAAGCAUUUCUUUAGGAAACAGAGAAAACCGCAGCAACUAUUUGAUGUUUCUCGACGCUUGAAGACAACAAGUGAAGUUGUUGCUACCAUCUUACAAGCCAAAGUCAUGAGAAAGUCGGGUGUUAAAAUGUUGGGAGAUUACAAAGUUCAUGCUCUAUUCACACAUGGUGGAGGCAACCCAACAAGUUGUUGCGGGAGCCAGCAGAGAAAGGAGUCGAGGAACCCGCAUCAUGGGAGAGUCAUCGAGGGGCAUCCGGAUAAAGCCUAUAUACUGGAUGAGAUUCUCAUUGCCGGCAUUCUUCAUGAACCUAUCAAGGAGAACAUUUCAAUACUAAUUGCAGCACAUGUUUUCUCACCACCGGCUAACAAGAAGAGAGUAUGA